rnacentral:rRNA from 1 species
UACGGAGGGUGCAAGCGUUAUCCGGAUUCACUGGGUUUAAAGGGUGCGUAGGCGGGUUGGUAAGUCCGUGGUGAAAUCCCCAAGCUUAACUUGGGAACUGCCGUGGAUACUAUCAAUCUUGAAUAUCGUGGAGGUAAGCGGAAUAUGUCAUGUAGCGGUGAAAUGCUUAGAUAUGACAUAGAACACCCAUUGCGAAGGCAGCUUACUACACGAUCAUUGACGCUGAGGCACGAAAGCGUGGGGAGCAAACAGG